UGGGGAAUCUUGCGCAAUGGGCGAAAGCCUGACGCAGCCAUGCCGCGUGAAUGAUGAAGGUCUUAGGAUUGUAAAAUUCUUUCACCGGGGACGAUAAUGACGGUACCCGGAGAAGAAGCCCCGGCUAACUUCGUGCCAGCAGCCGCGGUAAUACGAAGGGGGCUAGCGUUGAUCGGAAUUACUGGGCGUAAAGGGCGCGUAGGCGGAUCGUUAAGUCAGAGGUGAAAUCCCAGGGCUCAACCCUGGAACUGCCUUUGAUACUGGCGAUCUUGAGUAUGAGAGAGGUAUGUGGAACUCCGAGUGUAGAGGUGAAAUUCGUAGAUAUUCGGAAGAACACCAGUGGCGAAGGCGACAUACUGGCUCAUUACUGACGCUGAGGCGCGAAAGCGUGGGGAGCAAACAGG
rnacentral:rRNA from 1 species